rnacentral:rRNA from 1 species
CACGUAGGGGACGAGCGUUGUCCGGAUUCAUUGGGCGUAAAGCGCGCGUAGGCGGCUCGGAAAGUCGGUCGUGAAAUGCCGGGGCUCAACCCCGAGACGCCAUCCGAUACUGCUGUGGCUUGAGUCUGGUAGGGGAGAACGGAAUUCCUGGUGUAGCGGUGAAAUGCGCAGAUAUCAGGAGGAACACCGGUGGCGAAGGCGGUUCUCUGGGCCAGUACUGACGCUGAGGAGCGAAAGCGUGGGUAGCAAACAGG